rfam:Nomascus leucogenys chromosome 13, whole genome shotgun sequence.
GCUAGGCAUGGUGGUGCAUUCCCCGUAGUUCCAGCUACUCAAGAGGCUGAGGUAGGAGGAUCGCUUGAGUAAAGGAGUUCUGGGGUGUUAUGUGCUAUGCCAAUUAGGUGUCUGCACUAAGUUUGGCAUCAAUAUGGUGACCUCCUGGAAGUGGGGGACCACCAGGUUGCCUAAGGAGGAGUGAACUGGCCCAGGUUGGAAAUGGAGCAGGUCAAAAUUCCCAUGCUGAUCAGUAGUGGAAUCAUGCCUGUGAAUAGUUGCUGCAUUCCAGCAUGAGCAACCUAACAAGAAUCCAUCUCUA